AACGAACGCUGGCGGCAUGCCUAACACAUGCAAGUCGAACGAGACCUUCGGGUCUAGUGGCGCACGGGUGCGUAACGCGUGGGAACCUGCCCUUAGGUUCGGAAUAACUCCCCGAAAGGGGUGCUAAUACCGGAUAAUGUCUUCGGACCAAAGAUUUAUCGCCUUUGGAUGGGCCCGCGUUGGAUUAGCUAGUUGGUAGGGUAAAAGCCUACCAAGGCGACGAUCCAUAGCUGGUCUGAGAGGAUGAUCAGCCACACUGGGACUGAGACACGGCCCAGACUCCUACGGGAGGCAGCAGUGGGGAAUAUUGGACAAUGGGCGAAAGCCUGAUCAAGCAAUGCCGCGUGAGUGAUGAAGGCCUUAGGGUUGUAAAGCUCUUUUACCCGGGAUGAUAAUGACAGUACCGGGAGAAUAAGCACCGGCUAACUACGUG
rnacentral:rRNA from 1 species